AGCCGGGUCGUCUAGCGGCCCAGGAUGCGGGGCUCUGGACGGCGGGCCGCUAGACAGACGGCGCCGGGGGAGCCCCCGUGACCGGGGUUCGAAUCCCCGCCCGGCUACCA
rnacentral:tRNA from 4 species